rnacentral:rRNA from 1 species
ACGGGAGGCAGCAGUGAGGAAUAUUGGUCAAUGGGCGGAAGCCUGAACCAGCCAAGUCGCGUGAAGGAUGAAGGUAUUAUGUAUUGUAAACUUCUUUAGACGUAGAGAAAUAAGGCGCUCGUGAGCGCUGAUGCUAGUAUACGUAGAAUAAGGAUCGGCUAACUCCGUGCCAGCAGCCGCGGUAAUACGGAGGAUCCGAGCGUUAUCCGGAUUUAUUGGGUUUAAAGGGAGCGUAGGCGGCCUUUUAAGUCAGCGGUCAAAUGUCAGCGCCCAACGCUGGCCUGCCGUUGAUACUGUUAGGCUUGAAUACACACAAGGAAGGUGGAAUUCGUCGUGUAGCGGUGAAAUGCUUAGAUAUGACGAAGAACUCUGAUUGCGAAGGCAGCCUUCUGGAGUGCGAUUGACGCUGAGGCUCGAAAGCGCGGGUAUCAAACAGGAUUAGAUACCCUGGUA